rnacentral:lncRNA from 1 species
UUCUGUUUAGCUAAGCUCAUCCAGCUUACUUCAGAAUUCAAUUUAACAAACCCCACCUCCCCACCCAGGGACUGACAAGGACUCAUGAGUUAUUUGUGCCUCAGGACACCCACGGAAGCCAGGCCUUCUCUAGUCCAGGAUCCUCUGUCCUGGCUCCAGCAGUGUUCUCAAAUCUUGGUCCUGGGACCCCCAGCCUCAGGAUGUCCAGAGGGGGCUUCUGAGAUGGGUGAUGUGGAAGUGCAAGGAAAUGAAAGGACUAGUGGUUUAUUCCUUCAAGUUCAGUGUUUCCCAAACUGGCCUAAUUGGUUAUGAUGGAUGAUGAGGCACACAGCAGCCCAUAGAGACAUCUGAAGACAAAGCAUUCAGUCAAGAUGGAGUGAAGACUGUCACUAAACGGAAGGAGAAGAGGGAGGUUAUGUAUCACAGAGCAGAGAAGAGAUAAAUGGGGAAAGAAGGGAGCAGAGAAGCUGAGAUUUCCUGGGAAACUAAAGAAGGAUGAUUCUGGCUCCUUGGACCCAUGGGAGGGAGCCCAACUUGAUGGGUUAGCAUCCAGGUGAAGGCUUUUGAGGCUGCUUUAUUUAAGUAUCCAUUCUGUCUCUUUCCAACAGGCAGUUGGCUCAACCUAUUUGAGCCUCAGUCUCCCCGUCCACAAAUAUGCUGAUUAUAGGACUGCUCUCAAAGUGCCAUGACUAGCAAAUGUACUGAGGUUGUUGGUGUUUCCCAGGCUCCAUCAGCUGGUGUGGCCACACAGCUACAGCUAGCAAGAAGCACACAGUCAAUGGGAACCAUUAUGAUUCUAAACACCUUCGGGCAGAACUCAAACUUUUUCUUUCUAAUUGAUUGCCUCUUAGUCAAGGGAAAAGCUGUCACCUUGUAGACCUUUGCAGUGAUGAUAAGUCCUGUUUCGGAUGUAUUUUAUUUAUUUUUUUGAGACAGAGUCUUGCUCUGUCACUCAGAGUGGAGUGCACUAAUGCAAUCUCAGCUCCCUGUAACCUCUGCCUCCGGAGUUCAAGUGAUUCUCCUGCCUCAGCCUCCCAAGUAGCUCGGAUUACAAGUGUGUGCCACCAUGCCUAGCUAAUUUUUGUAUUUUUAGUAGAGACAGG